rnacentral:lncRNA from 1 species
CUAAGAGUCGGACACGGCUAAGUGACUUCACUUUCACUUUUCACUUUCAUGCAUUGGAGAAGGAAAUGGCAACCCAUUCCAGUGUUCUUGCCUGGAGAAUCCCAGGGAUGGGGGAACCUGGUGGACUUCCGUCUCUGGGGUCGCACAGAGUUGGACACGACUGAAGCGACUUAGCAGCAGCAGCAGCAGUGCUCAGUUGCAACCCUGACUCUGAAUCUGACUCUGCAACCCUGUGGACUGUAGCCUUCAAGGCUCUGCUGUCCAUGGGAUUUCCCAGGCAAGAAUACUGAAGUGGGUUGCUAUUUCCUUCUCCAGGGGAUCAUUCUGACCCAGGGAUGGAACCCGUGUCUCUUGUGUCUCCUGCUUUGCAGGCAGAUUCUUUACCACUGAGCUACCAGGGGAGUCCCAGUAACUGGCCUGGAAUAAACUAAAGACACAAAUGACCAGGAAGAUUGAGUUCAGAAGUCUGGAUCAAAACCAAGAUAAAUCCUGACAUGUAUUUUAUUUCAGGAAAAUUUCCCUCUUCCCUAAUGACUCUCGCUUAUGGAAGAAUUACUUCACAUCAAAGAGGUGACCCACCUGGAGGAAGGAUUUUUCUUGAGCAACUCAAAGACUGAGGACACAUGUGGGAUCCACUUCUAAUUAUUCAAAAGGUUUCUUAGAUGGUGGUUCCAGGUGUGUCCCUUACAGUAGGGGGGAGUAUAGUGUAGAGUGUGAAUCUCUCUGCCUAGGGAUCUGAUGGGUUUCCCUGGACCCCCAACCUUUGAGAAGCAAGGGUCUGGGAUGGAAGUUCAUCUGAGCUUGGAGAAGGUAUCUGAGGAACCUGCAGAAUUUCAAGCUAAUUGGUUUUGUUGCGGCACGCAGGAUCUUCAUUUCAGGAUAUGACAACAGAGCCGGCAGAAAAACUGCAUCUUGUCUCAGCCUGGAGAGCAGAAACACUGAAGAGCUGGUGACAGUGUCCAUCUUGCCUUCUCCCUGCUGACAGUGUAAAUGUGAUGCCUCAGCUGACUAGGGUCCCUGAAUGAAGACAUAGUGGAGCCCAGCCAUUGUGGACUUUCUGUGCAUGAGAAAUAUGCUGUUGUGUUAGGCCAGUGAGACUUGGGGGUUAUUUGUUGCUUAACCCACCUUCACCUGACUAAUGCAUCAUCUUGCCUUGCUCCAAAAAGAAGUUAAAGUAGCUUAAAAGAGAAAUUGAGCACAGUAGGAUAAAAAAAUAACUGAGUAAAUUAAGGAUAAUUUAUAAUAGCAUUUACCUCACAGAAUUAUUGGGAGAAGACAUAAAUAUUUAUCAGUUGUGAUUGACAGUAGAGGUAACAAUAUGAGACUUUAGUUCAUUUUUAUGUUUGGAUCUUUCUUUUGUUUUUCAAGAUUUAUGACAUUCUUUAAUGAUAAAGAAAAGGGAAAUUCCAAAGCUCUUGUUCUUACUUUAAAAAGAACUUCACAAGUAUUAUACUUUUCAGAAAACAGAUAACAAUUCAAAUAUUAUUACAAGGGCAAUGGAUUAUUAAAUGAAUCAGUCAGAAAUGGAGAAUGUUAGAACUUACAGGUUACAUUCACAG